GCUGCCGAAGGUGGAGUAGGUGACUGGGGUGAAGUCGUAACAAGGUAGCCGUAUCGGAAGGUGCGGCUGGAUCACCUCCUUU
rnacentral:rRNA from 1 species